CCCACUUCCUGGCCAAUUAUAUUGUCAAGGUACUCUUUAGCAUCUGGUGGUUGAGCAAGGUCGCAAUAAGAAACAAGACCUUUUAUGAUCUCUUCAUCCAAUCCUAAUCCCAAUCCUGUUUCUAUCUUCGAACACAACUCCACCAGCGCCUUCUCCAGCCACUCCCCCGCCGUUUCCAUCUCUCUAUCCCGAUCCUGAUUCUCUGUUUCGCACCCUUUAAUUUACUCUUUUAUGGGAAAAUUAAAUAAUUAAAUAAUUCAAUAAUUGUGAAAGAGUAAUAUUUUACCAUUAGUGUAAUAUUUUACCAUUUGUUACAAUAUUCAACCAAUCACAAAUGAACACAUAAAAUGUUAGAUUAUCAUUAGUGUAAUAUGAUUAUUUUGGCUCUAAUAAAAAUGACUCUCUUCAAUGCUUCAAAGUCUUGAAUACUCAGUUGAAGGAAAUCCAGCAAAAUAACCCAAAAAAAAAUGCAGACUCUCUUAACGCCAAAGCUGUUUCUGGCCAACGCUGUUUCUAACUCUCUGAAUUUCAACAAUCGUCUUAAAAUUAGGGCUUCUACUACUCUUGAUUAUUCCACCGUCUCUAUCAAUGGCAAACCCUCCCCUUUGAAGACUAGUAAUUGGCAAUGGAAAUUCAAGGACAACUCUGUAAACAUUUAUUAUGAGGAGCAUGUAAAGGAGGAGACUCCCGAGCCUUCCCAAAAUAUCUUGAUGCUGCCAACAAUUUCUGAUGUUAGCACUGUUGAGGAAUGGAGAUCGGUGGCUGGAGACAUAGUUCAACGUAACGGCAAUGUCAGUUGCCAGGCAACUAUUGUUGAUUGGCUCAGUCUGGAUUAUUCUGAUCGACCAAAGAUCGACUACAAUGAUGAUGUCUGAGAAAAGUUUCUGGUUGAUUUCAUUAAUUCACCCAAUGGACCAAUAAAACAAGCAGAAAGAGACAAGAGUUUGUGU
rnacentral:lncRNA from 1 species